UACUUUACACUGUUAAGUUUUAAUCCUCUUUUAGACUAAAAGGGGAAUUGUAGGGGAAGCUGUAGCCACGCCUACUUAGGGGCUGGCUACAGGUGUUCGAGGGCAUGGUCAGGGUGACAUAGAUUGAUACUUGCAUAGGACUGCAUUUUGUGUUUUCAGUUUCACUUUGGUACUUGCUGGACACACUGCUGCCAUGCCAGCUGGCUAGGUUGCUCUGUAAGUAAGGCUUUUCCCUAUUAAAUACCCUUAUAUUUCUACCUGACUCCAUAUUGGUAAUUUCCCACUAUAAAUAACACUUAAGUAAAUGUAGGAAUGUGAACAUCUUUUAAACAUACUGAUUUAAUCUCCUUUGGAUAUAUGUUUAUGAAUAGUGUUUCCACAUCAUAGCUAAGUCUGUUUUAAAUAAUUUUAGGGAAUUUUGCAGUUCCUCACAAUGACUGUGCAAAUUUCCAUUCCUCUAAGGAUCUGCAAGGAAGACCUCUGCUCCAAAGCAGGAUGACAACUCUGAAAAGUAUCCUUUCCAGAAUGUUAACUAAUUUGUAUUUGCAUAUUCUGCUAGUUAUGCAGGAAAAUAGGGUAAGAGUGUUGUCUUUAAUUUAUGUGGAAAUCAGUGAUGAAUUUUAGUUAAGAAUGUAUUCAUUUCUUGUCUGAAACAUACACACAUAUGCAGAAAUGCACACACACACACACACACACACACACACACACACACACACACACACACACCCCACUCUUGUCUUCAAGGACUAGAUUAUUAUCUGAAAUUGCAAUUCCAUGUUACCAAAAUGUUAUAUUUCAAAUGUGAACAAAGUAAUGAUACAUUAAUGAGUAAAAGUCAUCAAAGAUUUGCAGCCAAGAGGCUGCAUAUUUAUAGUUCCCCAGGGAAUAUGGAUCAGGAGCCUGAAUAUUCCCCCAGAUGUAUUCAGAAUCUUACAAGGUUGUGAGAAAUAUUGGCUAGACUGAAUUUUUAUCUGAAUUCCAGGCAAGAGAAGAAUCUCUCUAGUUGCGUUGAAUUGUGGGAUUGACAGUGGCAUAUGACUUGUCUGAGAGGUUUCCUUCAUGUUCUCAGGCCUGGUAGCUGCUUACACCAUGGAGUUUCCAAUAAUGUCUAUCUCUGUGACACUAGUCUGCCUUAGAUUUGAGUUCACUGCUUCCAGCAUCAUUUUCCUUUUGAGAAAGUCAGAAUCAGCAGACUUGCGAUGUUGAUGACAUCCACAAAAUCCUGUAGCUUGCCUGUUGACUUAAAGGUUUGCUGAGGUGGUGGAGUUGAGGCCUUUAAGGGGUGUCAAAUUUGGCAGCCUACCCUUAUGUGAGAAGCUGUUCAACUUCUCUUCCUAGUUCAUUGUGUUCACUGAAGUAUUCCAUGGAUCGACAAAGCCUCUUUGGAAGAUGCAUCAUUUUUGGUUAGGAGACAGAAAGAAAGAAUAGACAAGAGGAUGAAACACUGAGAAGAAAGGGUACUUGGGGAACAAGACUGAGGAAGACUUGUUCCCUGAUUCAUGUUCCACUUUUCACAACACUGGGGGAACAAGCCUGAAGGAAGCUCUACUUCUGGCCAGUGUUACACUUUUCAGCUCACAUAUAUAAAUUGUAUAUACAUACAGAUAUUAUUUUAUAACCAUGAACAUUAUCAAUUAGCACAUAGCAUAAGGCUAAUAAGUGUUCUGGUUACUAUGGAGACUCAAGUGGAGCCUGGUGAGAACAAGAAUUUUGAUUUUAAAUGUUAACAUUUUGCUACCAUUCUUGAAUUUUUAUAAAUUUCUUAAAUUACUUUAAUUAGAAGCAUUUAACAUCAGCUUUGAAAUGGGUUUGAUUAUGUCUAGACAAGUAUUGAAUUUGUAAUGUGUACCUUUGUUACCCCACAGAUGUGUCUGUGGUAUUUUACUUUGCAAAGAAAGAAGAUCUACUAGUAAAGUCUGUUUCCUGAACAUUGAUGAGGCUGUUAUACUCCACUUGAACACAUUUAUAAAUUUUUAGUUUCAGUAAACAAAUAAGAGGGUUAACUAAAAACCACAAGAAGGGAAAAGAGCAAUAAAAUAUUUUCAUGUGUUGAAUUCAUAUA